rnacentral:tRNA from 1 species
GCGGAUGUGGCGGAAUUGGCAGACGCCCUGGAUUUAGGUUCCAGUGCCCUCACGGGCGUGCCGGUUCAAGUCCGGCCAUCCGCACCA